UUGUUGAGCCGCUUGAGGUGGCGGUGCAGCCUCGCCGCCGGCGACCUCACGGCGGCGGUAGCGGCGGCGGCGCACGACAAGCAGAUGACCGUCACGAGCAGGCACACGACCCACCGCGCGGCGUCCAUGGGCGGCGGCGCGCCUCCCUCAGCCUUGGCACCUCCACUCCACCACUGCCGCGCGUCUUUUCCCCUCCCCGGUUCCCUCUUCCGGCGAGCUUACAGCGAGGCAAAGCAGGCCUCGACUUGCCUCACCCGGAAAGAGGGCCCUCCGUCCGCCGGCGGCGGCUGCGCUGCCAGAACCAGGGGCCGAUUCGAGAUUUUUGAAACAAUGCGGGUGCCUGACUGCCUGCGUGGUGGGAUUUGGGGAAACGGGAGUAAUGGCUCGUCGCCUUGGGCGGCUCGUCGUCUCGGUUGGGAGCGGCGCGUGCGUCCACUAGCCGCUUGCUGCACUGCACUGCACAGCGAUGUCUCGCGGCCACUUUUGCCGUUUCCGCAGCUCGUGCUUCUGGACGGAAAUGCCCCCCACCACGAUCCGGAAAUUAUUAGGGGCACCCGGCGUGCAACUAACGUCAAAGCGGGUACCGAUAUGCUCACUGAGAUGUGGGCCUCCAGGGUUUUCUUUCUUUGGGUCGUUGAUGCCUGA
rnacentral:misc_RNA from 1 species